UGGAAUUGAACAAGGAUGAAGAUCAGGCUCAGCCUGCCUUGGGUAUGCAAUUGGAGGUGAUGGCUCAUGAGCGGUAUGUGGUGGAACAAACUGGUUUGUGGGAAUGAAAUGAUGCAGAGUAUGUGGGUAGCUUUGUUGGUAAGGAUGAUACGCAUACGCGGGGUAAGGGUUAGGCGGUGGUGAUAGGUGAUAGCUCGGUGGUGGUGGGUGAUAGCCCGGCGAGAAAAAUGGCAGAUCCCACUGUUGCGGAGGUGACGAGAACUGCACUGAGUGGUAUGGGUACUGGUUUGAGUACCACGACGGCGGUUCAACGCCGUAAGGCAGAGACGCCGGUUGCCCAGCUCCCAGAUUCAUGGCUCUGGAUACCAAUUGUUAGGGUUUUACCCCUAACUGGGAAGAAACUACAACUAAGAAAUGAAAUACUGAUUUUUCUUCGAUAAGGAGCAACAGCUCAACGAGCAGUACAUAUAGAUAGGCUAUAGAAAGGAGCACAUGCGCAGCACGUGAGUACAUGAAUCUUAAAAUCAUAACACACACUAUCACUGUCAAGCUCCACACCACAUCUCU
rnacentral:lncRNA from 1 species